GUACAGCAAUUAAAAAGCAUUAUAGCAAUAUUAAUUAUUACUAAAACUUUUUAUUCAACAGAAUUUUAAUAUUAUUUUGUUUGGUACUUUUACUUGUUAGCAUAUACAAACUAUAAUAUGUGCCAAAUGAUCAAAGCGAAAGCAACGAUUUAAAUUUAAAACCGGCAAAAUCUUUUAUUUAAUUACUGUGACUCCGGUGGUUUAAAGUGCAUACGCAUUAUUCUAUAAAUUAUUAUAAUUGCAUCGAUUUGUAAGGUAAAUGAAAUAAAGAGCGAAAGUGGCCAUAUUUUUUUAUAAAUAUGUAUCGCUUAGACAUAUGCGUUUUCAGUCAAAUUAUUUCUUGUUGAAAUACUGGAAAGAAUUUUAAAUUUGAUCGUACAUGAUCAAUAAUAUUGCUUUUGUUAGCGUUUAUUUACAAUAAAAUCAGAAAUACGCGUUCCGCGCAGUUGUUUGUCGUUCUUAUCCAGAUACACUUGUUUUGUACACUUCUUUUAUUAUUAUAAUGUCCCAUAUACAAACAAUUAAAAAUCAUCUAGAAGUAAGUUAUAAGCUCGAGGCAGCGGUGGAAGAUGUUUUAACUGGAGAGAAAGAUGUGCAAGCCGCUGCAAUAAGCUAUCGACUGAAUCGGAAAAUGUUUUAUCGAAAAAUAAACGUAAUAACAAAGAUGAAAAAGUAUAUUACACUAAAAUGUAAAUUCGAAUUAGCAGUAACGGAGUAUUUAAAUAAAAGAACAACUAUAAAAGGCGCCGCAAAUCACUAUGGAAUUAAUCGAAGAAUUCUGAGGAAAGAAAUCGAAUGUUUCAAAAGACACAGCAGUUCGAAAAUUGCAGAGUACGAAUACGACAGACCUAUUCAAAGUAAAGGAUUUUUUACAUUUAGGGAGGAGCUGUUGUUACUGAAGGAUUUAUUUUAUUGGAAAAACAUGUUUCAACCAUAUUGCUUUUGCCAAUUGUGCGCGAUGGAUCGAUUGCUGAGUCUAGCCGAUCAGUACGCCAAAAACAAUGGGAGAGAACAUCUAAAAAGGUGGAAUAAAAUUAAAAAACGGACAAAGUUGAGAUGGCUGAUCGAUUUCGAAAUGAGAUUCAGCUAUUACAUCUCAAAAACUUUAGGCCUAAUUGUAUAAAAGUACCAACGAUGUCUCAAGCAAAAUUGAGAAACAAGUCAAAAUCUUUGCCCGUUUCCAAAUCGAUAGACAAUUACAGUUCAAAGGAAAAAGAUUUCGACCAGUCGCCAAUUUACAACGUUAAAGAUAUGUCUACGCAAACGAUUCGUAAGAUUACAUCCGCCGUUUCUGACAAUGUGAAUGAUCAACCUUUGGAUCUAAGGACCCGUUUUCAAACAACAUUGGGAGAAGAAAACUGACAAUGAGAUGUUAUAUCUUUGAAAGCUGCAAAUUUUUGUUUAAUUUCUACGAUACGUUUCAUAAAGAAUAUUUAAUGAUAAAAAAGAAGAAUGAAAUUAAGGAAAAGGAAUUAGAAAUGUUUAAAAGUUUGUUUAAAAAAAUAUUUAAAAGUUGAAAUAAGCGUAUCCGAGAUAGAAAUUUAGAUUUACAAUAAGUCUGUAAAUACUCCCGAUAAAGAAAUAAAAUUUGCUUAGUGCAUUGAUUGUUAAAUGUUAUUCGAAUGAAUGCUGACGUGGAUUUUGCACAAAAUCAAAAACUAUUUAAUGACUAUAAUUAUGCCAACAAUAAAUACUGUUUUUACACAA